rnacentral:ncRNA from 1 species
CAAUCACGGCAGUGAUGCUGUGAUGAAUUGUAAGAAGUCAGCCGAGGCCAUAGUAGUUCCAAAGGAAUGAAGGGC